UACGUAGGGGGCAAGCGUUGUCCGGAAUUAUUGGGCGUAAAGCGCGCGCAGGCGGUCCUUUAAGUCUGAUGUGAAAACUGGAGGCUCAACCUCCAGACGUCGACGGAAACCGUGUGGCUAGAGUCCGGAAGAGGAGAGUGGAAUUCCUGGUGUAGCGGUGAAAUGCGCAGAUAUCAGGAAGAACACCAAUGGCGAAGGCAGCUCUCUGGGACGGUACUGACGCUGAGACGCGAAAGCGUGGGGAGCGAACAGG
rnacentral:rRNA from 1 species